AAAAAAUUAGUUAAAUGAAUAACAUUAGAGUGUCAACCUAAAAUUAUCAAAAUUGAUAUUUUUUA
rnacentral:tRNA from 1 species